AAGGUGAGCCCCUCUCCCUCUCAACGAACUGAAUCUGGCCUCUCUGCCAUACAGUCAGGCAAAACAAACUCUCAUGGACCUCUAUCCCGGAAAAUCCGAGGUCACUUUCACCAAAUUUUUAACUUUUAAAUUGACUAGUCAGAUCCAAUUAGGAGACUAUUACCGCCAAAAAAUAACUAUGGGAUUACAACUGGGCCUAACCAAUCCUAUCAUAGUGGAAGCAUUAACGGAAGGCCUCCAAGCCAGUGAUCAGCGCGCUCAUGAGGGCCAUAGCCCCUAAAACCCUGACCGAAUGGUACUCUACCAUGACUAGAAUAAAAGGGACCAAUUUACUCCCUACUCAUGGCGCCAACGACUGCUGCCUCUUCCAGCGAGAAUCCAGCCAACUAGCCUCGCUCAACUGGGCCGACAGCGAGAUGGCGGAGGUGGACGCCAACGAAGGCUUCAUCGUCAUCAGGAGAAACAGGCGACUCGCCUCAACGUCAUCUGAGCACGCUGCAAGGCAGCCCAACAAGCCUGGAGAGCAGCGCAGCUCCCAGCAGCGGAAACAGCCAACAGGACCAAGAACAGUGCCGCCUCAGGAGAUCAAGGUGACGCGCGCCAACAUCGCCGAGGCCAAGGCGAGGCAGACCUCUUCUAGCCACGAAAACUACAUCUUCGUGGAACUGUGCCCUGACAUCCCGGACUACUCCUACCUCAAGGCAAUGAGCAAGCUGGUCGGUGGGCCUGGAGGCAUAACACAAUUUAACAGGAUGGACAGCCACUACAUCGUGGGCAUGGCGACCAAGGAUCUUGCGCGCCUUCUAGUUGAAGGCGGCCUAGAGAUCGAUGGAACGACCCUUAGGGUCUUCCCCUACUGCAAGAGGGCCGAGCGAAUCAUCGUCGCCAACCUGCCCGGCUUUGUGGAGGACAGCCCGUCAGGAACGCUCUGUACCCAUACGGGAAGGUCACCUCCAUCGCCCCCAUCCUGGUCAAAAUGGGGGAGUUCACCUUCACCGACUGCCGCCGGGAGGCCUUCAUCCUGCUCAACGACGGCAUCAAACUGGACAGGCUACCCACUCGCCUGGACAUCAAGUCCAAAGGAGACUCCGUGCCUGCCUUCCUCUCCUUUGGCAUCAAGUGCUCAAAAUGCGGAAACAAGGCCACCGCAGAGCCAACUGCCCAGCACUCACCAGGCAGAACAGCAGCCCCAGGCAAGCAAGGUCUCCCACCGACACAUGCCCCCUCCUCCUCCCCCUCAGAAGCCAAAGAAACCCGCACCUGCGCCUGCUACAUCGGCGUCCCCUGUUCCACCGGCGGAGACAUCAACCGGGGCUCCUGCAAUCCCCUCGGCGCCCUAGCCGAACCAAAGGAUCUCGCCCAGCCCGCCCCUGCUGCCCACCCUGCUCCUCUCGCUGCCCCCCGGGGCUGGGACCCUACCGCUCGACUGCGAGAUAACGGGCGAGGAGGAAAUUUCAACCUCUUCCACGUCUUCCCAGAAGCGCCGCGCAUACAAUCAGCUGCAGAAAUACAUCAAGAGACCCCCAACCUCUCCACCGACCGCUCCCUCGGCCACCGUUACUGGUGCUGCCGUACCAUCUGGCCUCUCAUCAGAGAGGCCUUCAACAUCAUAGGGCGGCCUCCUGCAGGCUUGGAUCUUCGGCGGGUCCGGCCUUGAGGACAACGCCCUUUCCAUCCUGGCGUCGGCAAAGUUGCGAGUUUAUUGCUACUUUGUCCAGGUUGGGCUCGGAGGAGCAGUGGAGGACCCGCUCAUCGCCUGGUCCAGGACCCUCCAGUGCAGAGAUCUCCUUCUUCCUAUGUAAAUUUGUAAAAUAUGUUUCAUAUUGUAUAUUUCCUCUACUCCUUUAUGUAAUAUAUUCUCUCUCUCUCUUUGUUUAAAAAUGUAAUAUUGUCUAGAAGACAAUAAAUAAUUUUUAAUUGUCAUACAUACAUACAUACACGGCCGUGCGGCCACGCUUUGGUCGAGCUCCGCCUUUUUUCCACCCUGGCGGGUGUAUGAACGUUGGUGCCACGUCAAGUUUGGUAUGGGCAGAUAGCCCAUUUGAUGCCGAUCAAUUGCCUGUAAGGCACGGCUUAAUAUCUCAAACCGAUGCGGAAAUAUCUGCGAAAAACCAAUUGCAGAUUGACAAUUCAAUCGAAAUGCAAGAAUCGGCCAGUAAUGCAAAUCUGCCUACUAGCGAACGAUAUGCAAAAUCUGCCGUGUCGCACGAAUUUGCCGCUACAAUGCCUUCGUCUGGCGCACUUCCAAGCCGACAGAACUGGGCGGAAAUAUCUGAGGAUCAAGGUCCUGUUUCUGGAGACGACUUUACCGUCGUUCAAAACAAAAGAAAACGCCGCAACACGGGAGCGCCGGGCGUUACGGCCGCACAGUCCAACGGCGCUGGAUCGGCUACUGGGCGACGGAGAUCCUCGCCUACAUGGGUGCGGCAGGUCCAGGAGAUCAGGACCACGAGGGCGCACAUCGUGGAAGCCAGAGCUCGCCAGGCGUCCUGCAACGAGGAGCAGUGCCUCUACCUGGAGUACUGCCCGGACUAUCAGACAUAUCAAUACCUAAAAGCCAUUGAAAGAGUCGUCGGAGGAUCCAAGAACGUUGUCCAAUUUGCCAAGGUAAAUGGGCACUACUUGCUGGGACUCACCAGCAGAUCCCUGGCGGAACGGCUGAUCCGGGAGGGCCUUGAGGCCGGGAACCCUCAUUAGAACCUUCCCCUUUAGGAAGAGCUCCAUCAAAAUCACAAUAGGGAACCUACCCUUCUUUGUGGAGGACGCCGCCGUGAUCAAUGCCCUCUCCCGAUUUGGACGAAUCACCUCGAUCGCCCCCAAACUGCUAAGGGCUGGCGAAUUUGACUUCACUGACGGCCGUCGGGAGGCUUUUAUUCUCCUCCACGACGGCGUUACCGUUGACAAGCUUCCCACCCGCUUUGAAAUUAAAAUUAAAGGUGAGGCCUGGCCGGCCUACCUUACAUAUGGCAUCAAAUGCUCUAGAUGCCACGGACAGGGACACAGAAGAGCCAACUGCCCCCUUCUCACGGGCAGUCCACCACCUCCAGACGGGCUCCACCGCCCUCUCCCAACAAACUCCAACCACUGACCGCGCCUGGACUGCCUAAACGGUUCUCGGCCGCGCCUGCGCCAGCACCUCCCAGUCCAGCUGUCGAGGAUUCUGGCGCUUCUCCUGCCGCCCGAGCUGUGACUCCAUCUACAGCACCUCGGCCAUCUCCACCAGCGGCCCCGACCUUACCUAUGGAGGAGGCGUCUCCUGCCCCUCCACCUGUGACCCCUGCUCCGUCCCUGCGGGCACCUGUGAGUCACGUGCCUGCAGCCCCAACACCGGACGUUGAGAUGUCCAUCAUCGAGGAGAUUUCUACAUCCUCCACAUCCUCGUCAAAACAUCAACGAGAGAAGGCCUCGUGACUUUCAUCGAGAGGAAUCCGGGCGUCUCCUUUGCCCAGACUUGGCCUCGGGCGGGAGGAGGUCUUGGACAUCCUCUCCUCAAAGACCAAGGCUCGGAAGCGGGGACCCCUCCUGUCACCCUCGCAGGGCGGCGCUCUCGCCGGCCUAAUCCGUCAACUCUUGGGCCAGAGGCCCGGAGGGGAUAGUAACAUCUAUAAAGUCCUGCGUCAGGUCUUGUCAGAGCUGAGGACCGCCCCUACUGCAGUGCCUUCAACACCCCCACUGCCUGCGCCUCGGCCUUCUGGGCCAACGGCGCCUACUUCCCACAGCGAAGAACUGAUGCCUGCUGUGAUGACACCUCCGCCGCCCGCCCCGACGGAGAUGGAGGAGGACAAUCCGAUGACGGAAAAAGAGCGUUUGUGCACCCCCACCGCCUGCGCCUCGGCUCGCUGAGCCGACACCACCCACUCCCCAUGGGGAAGAGCUAACACCGGCCAUGGCGACACCUCCGCCUCCACUGCCAUUCCUGACCCAGGUGGAGCUGAGACUAAGUGCGUAGACCGGAUAUUUGACCUGUUCAAAGAGCAGAACUAUCAACAGGCCUUGGGGCCCCUACUCAAGAAGGGCUAGAUAUUGACAACCUCUCACAUUCGAUCGUGGUGGCUCAAGAGUAGGGAGUACCUCCUCAAGUCUCUCAGAUCUAGACCCAGACACAAAGCCACUCUCGCCGAGUUUCUCGGCACUGUCGCCGAACAUGCUCACGAUGACCACCUCUUAAUUCAAAGGGGAAUAUACGAGCUCAGGCUGGCUCUGCGCUCCUAACAGAAUCAAGAUUAUUGUAAAUUUUUGUACUUUCUCCCAUUGACUUUGGGUGUAAUCAUUGACUAAAAGUCAAUAAAAUUAUUUAAUUGUCAAUUGUCAUACAUACAUACAUACAUACAUACAUACAUAUACAUACAUACAUACAUACAUACAUACAUACAUACAUACAUACAUACAUACAAAACAUACUUUGUUUACAAAAUAAAUAUUUUAUAAAGAUUUAAAAUAUAUAUUUAUAUAUAUUUGAAAAAUGGGAAGAAAAGGCAAAUUCAAAUUAUCCGCAACAAGAAAUCUCGCAAUGGCAUUCACGACCGCCGUUGGAGCAUGGCUCUCCAACUGGCCCUGCCGUUGGACUCGGGCGAAACUUCCCACUCCAUCAUCCUGGAAAUGAUUAAUUCAUCAGACCAGAUAAGGGAGACAGUGGCUGAAACCUUGAAGGAUCUGACGCCCAAAGAAUUGGGUACCCUGAUGGAACAGUCAUUCAACUGGUUGGCCAACUUCCCCCUCCAACGCCACCCAGCCAUCUUCAUUUUAUGCCACCUGUCCCAGACCAAGAGCUACCAGGAACUACUACAAAUAUAUCCUGAGUUCGAGGACAAAAGGCCUUUCCUUCUUGGCUCAGCUUGAGGAUUUCCAGAGCGAAUCAACCAGGAUCUUGGAGCCUCCGAGACAUUUUGGAGAUGACUGUCAUGACAGACAAACUACUUAAACCUUAAUAUUACUAAAAUUGGUUAUUAAAAAUUAUUCUUUAGUUAAUACAUACAUACAUACAUACAUAGUGGACUACCUAGUGGACUAGGCAGUACCCGACCCUACCAUUAUCAAUUGCUAAUAAAACAUUUCUCAGAAAUGUUGCGUUAUCAGAAGACUAAAGUCUUCGAAUCCAAAGGCUCUUCUCAGAGCCAUCGUGAUGAGGACGACGACGAACAGUCCUCACGCCCACCCCCCAGAGACCAAUGGUCACGUGGUGACCAAGGAGGUCGGGGAGGCCGCGGAGGCGGCCGACGAAACCAGCAGCGUGGAGCUCCUGCUGGAGGUGGAAAACCAAGCUCCAACCAGUCGCUGCGGUGGUGGCGGACCACAUGACAACACCAACAACAAGAAGCCGCCACAACAACAAUAGGGGCCCCCAGCCCCGCAACACAUCUCCAAGACCAGCUCCAUGGUCACCAAUGAGUGCCUGUGGAAGGAAGCAUUCUUCCCACACCCUGGCUAUGACCUGCGCCCCUCGCCCCAACCCAACAUCUUCCAUCCCGGGGGCCGACGGGUUCAGCCACCUCAUUCAUGAGGUGUACAAUGCCAUUGUGGCCAAGACUCCCACUUUUGGAAGAGCCGUCCCUGAGUCGGCUUUCGCUUACUAUUGUGAGGUGGUGCUUUAACGCCCGCCUCCUUUUCAUCCACGGGAAGAACCAGUUCCUGGAGUCCCUGGAGGAGAGGGAUUUUGUCCAAAGGGUGGUCGAAGCCGACUACCCACUACCAGAGCCCGUCCAUGACUACGUCAUGGGUUUCGGGAAUGUGACCCUACCCAGCGGAGGCCUUGUGCAGCUGCGGCUGCCCACCCGGACCUUCGAAACUAACACCGUCGUAGGCUGGUUUGGCUGUGUGACCCAGGGACCACCCACUACAUCUACAAGUCCAUCCCUUGCCUGGCCCGUCUUCGCCUUCAGAGUACUGAAGGACUAUGACGGCAGUGACAACCCCAACACUGUAAAUUCCUUCACUGUGUUGUCCUGUUUAUUUCAUUCUAUCUCAUUGUACUUUUGUGUAAAUAGAGUUAUGAUGUUGUAAUCAUGAGAAAUGAUGAUCAUUGGAGCCGAUUGUUAGAGAUGAUCAUCUUUCAUUAAAUAUAGGAUACUAUGUUAUUUGUAAAUUUAAUUGUUAAAAUAAUUUGUAUUUUUAAAUUUAACACUUCGAGGACACAGGACGUCAAUUAACGUCCUCGCGAAAAUGGCACAGUGCCCGCAGGACGUAUAUUAACGCCUACUUUCUUAAAAAUCGGUAUAAAAUCAUAGCGGGCGCUACGUCCCGUGGCCACUUGCCCUCCUGCAAGUUUAAACAUGCCUCAGGUCAUCCACCACUUUGCCACAUGAUAGGGUGGAUGGCUGACCAAUUAAAUUGAGUUUUGAGCGCUGCGCUUCCUCAAGUUUCCUCCCCUCCCAACCUCUACUGACCUAUUUUUAAUCUGCCGUUAUUUGGCAAUUGUACUUUGCGCGCUUCUUCUUGUCACUUUUUUUUUUUUGCUUAAUAUUUUUAUUUGAAGUUUCUAGAUAUUUUCAAUAGACAUUUUGGAUAAAAAUGAAUCCUGAUCAGCCCAGUACAUCCAAAGUUUUCUCCUCUUGCCCAUCUCCAGAGUGGGAGAUUUAUGACCCCCAUCUUUUGAUUCUGGAUCAGAAUUAGAUUAUUCUUUUGAGGAUCCAGAUUUCACACUCCAUGCUAACUCUGAUGAAGAUAUUGAUUCGGAUUCACAGAAAUAUAUGUUGAGGGACCAAGAGAUGAAGAGGCUCCUGCAACAACAAGGUCUCCUCUGGUAAGUGAUGACUGGAUUGAAACUACUACAUCCACGAUACCCAGACCUCUGUUUACUGCCCAACCUGGACCAAGGGCCGAGUUAUUUCCAGAACCCAACUCUCCUUACCAGAUAUUCAAAAAAUUUAUUGAUGAGGAUUUUUUGGUAAUCUGAAACUUGAGACUAACCGCUAUGCUAGGGCAACCAUAGACAGAGAAAGAAAAAAGGAUCCUUUGAAUCCUAGGAGUCAUUUAGAAAUGUGGAAAGCUUUUCUGUGUCUGAGCUCAAGAUAUUUAUGGCUAUAAUAAUUCACAUGAGCCUUGUUGUAAAGACCAGAUUGAAAGAUUAUUGGUCCAACCCGCAGUGAACUUAGGACAACUUACUGCAGAGAUGUGGGGAUGAUCAGACCACGGUUUGAAGCCAUUCUCUCCAUGCUUCACCUAAAUGACAACGCUUCCUAUGUGGCUUUUGGUCAACCAGGCCAUGAUCCUCUCCAUAAAAUUAGGACAUUCCUUGAUGCUCUGGUCCACAAAUUCAAAACAUAUUACUAUCCCUGCCAACCUUUGACUAUUGACGAAGCUAUAUGUCCUUUUAGAGGAAGAAUACGGUUCAGAAUAUAUAUCAAAGGAAAGCCACACAAAUAUGGGAUCAAGAUAUUUGAACUUUGUGAAUCAAGUUCAGGAUAUGCCUGCAACAUAGAAGUGUACACGGGGAAGCAGCCUGGUCAAGGUGCAGACUACAAGAAAAUGAGUCGACACCGACCAUGGCCACACCUCCGCCUCCACCAUCUGCACAUAUGGAGGAUAAUCCGACCCGGACCAGUUGGAAGAUGUCGCAAGUUCUAUAUCGCGAAUUCAUGAAAGAACCCGACUUGGGGCCUACGUCCCAAUCGGGAAUCGACCAUUUAGAUCUCGUUGAUGCGACAUCGAUGGUGAAUUCCUGGCGAAUCUGGAAAGGUUUUUUCCGUUUGGAAAAUUCAAUAAUCUUUGGAAGCCUGAUAUUGUGACCCGCACCAAGAAUUGUACCAUAGCUCUCCUUAUUCACAAUAUCGUCUUUUCCGCAAUUGUUCCUUGACCCCUUUUCUUCUUUGACCUGUAAUUGAAGAGUAAAUAAAUAGUGUUUUACGUGUUACAUACAUACAUACAUACAUACAUUUUACUUGGUAAAUUAGGGUUAGCCAGACGGCGAUCCCUAUCUUAAGAAAUUUUUCUGCCUUUAAGUAACUUUGUGCUACUUCCUGUGUGGCCCGACGGCAAUUGUACGGCUACGCCUUUAAAAUGUCAAAAGGAAAAGGGAAGAACUGGGGGAAAGCUUGGAAUCAGUCUGAUGAUUCCAACCAAGCACAGGCCGAGUGGCCGUGGCGGUGGCAGCCGUCAGUCACAGACUGAGGACAAUUAGUCAGCUCCUCCCUUCCGCCCCUUCCGAGGGGGGAAAGGAAAGUCAAAAGGCCGGGUGGACUCCGCAGCUACGGCGCCACCACCCCUGAGGGGCCAGGAGCGCAUCCUAGAGAUGCCCAAACCUGCGCACCCCCUCCAUGACAUCUACACCGCUCAGAAAUGACCCUCUCUGGAAAGAGGCACUUGGUGUUGCCCAGGAUUCGAACUUGUACCCUGAGCCUGACUAUAACUAUGUGUGUCCAGGGUUCUUCGGGUGGAACACCUUGGUGGAGGAAACCUACCUGCGCCUCACUGCAUCCGGCGCCUCCUUCGCCAAAAGGAUUUCCCCCGGGACAUUUGCAUAUUACGUGGGGCUUCAAGGCCAUCGCGAGGGUUCUCGAGCUCUCAGAUUUGAGCCCCCGUGGUACCACAGUCCCUGGGAGAGACUUAAUCCGCGCAAUGAAGUAUGCUGGAACCCACUUCCCGGAGCGAAUAUCCCUCUUCCUCUCCGGAUUGGGUGACGCCGCGUCUUUAGGCGGAGUGAAAUACAUCUUCACAAUGCCAAGCCUAGAGUAUGCCGUUGCCAACAACAACACCCCUGGUUGGUAUGGACGUUUGGCCAGAACACGUCACUGGCUGUACAUGGCCUACCCAUCAUCAGGCCUAGCGGCAUCCCGCAUCAUGGCGGAGCUUGGUAACGUCAACGGACGUUGGCCCUUGCCCGCGGACAUGAACCCACUGGAGGAAGGAGCAGGCCUUCCCACCCAGAAUAUUGUGGGUUAUGGGCAAGUGGAGCCUCUGGAACAGCGGCACGUGAGGCCUUGCUUCGCUGUGGGGUAGCCCCCAAACUGUUCCCAACUGAGAACCCCACCAUAGCUCUGAACCACGGCAUCCUGUCA